rnacentral:tRNA from 1 species
AAGGGUAUAGCUCAGUGGCAGAGUACGUACCUAGCAUGCAUGAGGUCCUGGGUUCAAUCCUUUGUAUCUUCA